GGUGGGUUGGGUCAGUGGCUGGAGCGUAGGUCUCGUAACCGAAAGGUCGCGGGAUCGAAUCCCGCUAGAGGCUG
rnacentral:tRNA from 1 species